rnacentral:rRNA from 1 species
UACAGAGGGUGCAAACGUUGCUCGGAAUCAUUGGGCGUAAAGCGCGUGUAGGCGGCAAACUAAGUCGAAUGUGAAAGCCCUAGGCUCAACCUAGGAAGUGCAUUCGAUACUGGUAUGCUAGAGUGUUGGAGAGGAUGGCGGAACUCCCAGUGUAGAGGUGAAAUUCGUAGAUAUUGGGAAGAACACCGGUGGCGAAGGCGGCCAUCUGGACGACAACUGACGCUGAGACGCGAAAGCGUGGGGAUCAAACAGG